rnacentral:rRNA from 1 species
UCAUAUUGUAAAUGUACGUGCAGUAGACACUGAAGAGAGGAGCUUGCUCUUCUUGGAUGAGUUGCGAACGGGUGAGUAACGCGUAGGUAACCUGCCUUGUAGCGGGGGAUAACUAUUGGAAACGAUAGCUAAUACCGCAUAACAAUGGAUGACACAUGUCAUUUAUUUGAAAGGGGCAAUUGCUCCACUACAAGAUGGACCUGCGUUGUAUUAGCUAGUAGGUGAGGUAAUGGCUCACCUAGGCGACGAUACAUAGCCGACCUGAGAGGGUGAUCGGCCACACUGGGACUGAGACACGGCCCAGACUCCUACGGGAGGCAGCAGUAGGGAAUCUUCGGCAAUGGGGGCAACCCUGACCGAGCAACGCCGCGUGAGUGAAGAAGGUUUUCGGAUCGUAAAGCUCUGUUGUAAGUCAAGAACGGGUGUGAGAGUGGAAAGUUCACACUGUGACGGUAGCUUACCAGAAAGGGACGGCUAACUACGUGCCAGCAGCCGCGGUAAUACGUAGGUCCCGAGCGUUGUCCGGAUUUAUUGGGCGUAAAGCGAGCGCAGGCGGUUUGAUAAGUCUGAAGUUAAAGGCUGUGGCUCAACCAUAGUUCGCUUUGGAAACUGUCAAACUUGAGUGCAGAAGGGGAGAGUGGAAUUCCAUGUGUAGCGGUGAAAUGCGUAGAUAUAUGGAGGAACACCGGUGGCGAAAGCGGCUCUCUGGUCUGUAACUGACGCUGAGGCUCGAAAGCGUGGGGAGCGAACAGGAUUAGAUACCCUGGUAGUCCACGCCGUAAACGAUGAGUGCUAGGUGUUGGAUCCUUUCCGGGAUUCAGUGCCGCAGCUAACGCAUUAAGCACUCCGCCUGGGGAGUACGACCGCAAGGUUGAAACUCAAAGGAAUUGACGGGGGCCCGCACAAGCGGUGGAGCAUGUGGUUUAAUUCGAAGCAACGCGAAGAACCUUACCAGGUCUUGACAUCCCGAUGCUAUUUCUAGAGAUAGAAAGUUACUUCGGUACAUCGGUGACAGGUGGUGCAUGGUUGUCGUCAGCUCGUGUCGUGAGAUGUUGGGUUAAGUCCCGCAACGAGCGCAACCCCUAUUGUUAGUUGCCAUCAUUCAGUUGGGCACUCUAGCGAGACUGCCGGUAAUAAACCGGAGGAAGGUGGGGAUGACGUCAAAUCAUCAUGCCCCUUAUGACCUGGGCUACACACGUGCUACAAUGGUUGGUACAACGAGUUGCGAGUCGGUGACGGCGAGCUAAUCUCUUAAAGCCAAUCUCAGUUCGGAUUGUAGGCUGCAACUCGCCUACAUGAAGUCGGAAUCGCUAGUAAUCGCGGAUCAGCACGCCGCGGUGAAUACGUUCCCGGGCCUUGUACACACCGCCCGUCACACCACGAGAGUUUGUAACACCCGAAGUCGGUGAGGUAAUCUUUUGGAGCCAGCCGUAUAAGGUGGGACAGAUAUUGUGGAACUGUCACACCAGUGCAAUAAAACAUACC